rnacentral:rRNA from 1 species
CCUACGGGCGGCUGUAGUGGGGAAUAUUGGACAAUGGGCGAAAGCCUGAUCCAGCCAUGCCGCGUGUGUGAAGAAGGCCUUCGGGUUGUAAAGCACUUUCAGUGGGGAAGAAAGCCUUGGGGCUAAUACCCUCGAGGAAGGACAUCACCCACAGAAGAAGCACCGGCUAACUCCGUGCCAGCAGCCGCGGUAAUACGGAGGGUGCGAGCGUUAAUCGGAAUUACUGGGCGUAAAGCGCGCGUAGGCGGUCUGAUAAGCCGGUUGUGAAAGCCCCGGGCUCAACCUGGGAACGGCAUCCGGAACUGUCAGGCUAGAGUGCAGGAGAGGAAGGUAGAAUUCCCGGUGUAGCGGUGAAAUGCGUAGAGAUCGGGAGGAAUACCAGUGGCGAAGGCGGCCUUCUGGACUGACACUGACGCUGAGGUGCGAAAGCGUGGGUAGCAAACAGGAUUAGAUACCCGAGUAGUC